GGCGACUAGCGGCCGGAGGCCGGGGGAAUGUGAGGUGGGAAAGGGUUACUAGGAAUUGCUGGGCGUAAAGCGUGCGGAGGUGGUGGUUGAAGUCGGUCGUGAAAGCCCUGGGCUCAACCGGGGAACUGCGAUGGAAACUGGGCGACUAGAGUGUGGUAGAGGGUAGCGGAAUUCCUGGUGUAGCAUUGAAAUGCGUAGAUAUCAGGAGGAACAUCCAUGGCGAAGGCAGCUACCUGGGCCAACACUGACACUGAGGCACGAAAGCGUGGGGAGCAAACAGGAUUAGAUACCCUGGUAGUC
rnacentral:rRNA from 1 species